GUUGUACAGAGCUCUUACUCACUCAUUUAUAAAUGAUAAUUUAAUACGAAUAUUUUUACAUUGAUAAAACUUAAUAUUCUGUUGAGGAUUACUCUUUGCUUUUGAUGUUCUUUGAUGGUGGCCUCUGUAGUCGUUUUUGGUUUUGCUAAAUCUUCAUUAAUUUAUUCUGGUUUUGCUAUAUAUUAUGCUGAUUUUUUUUAAGGGAUAAUACUCUGCUUUCUUAUUCAAGAAGAAGAAGAGGAUCUGCAAAUCAUGGAGCUGCCAUUAAUAUUAUCAGGCUCAUUUAUGCUAGCAAGCUACUUGGUGAUGACAAGACUACCAAAGGCUACAAAUCGAGGACAAUCGGACUUAUGAUUGAAAGAAUAUUGAUAAAGUUCAUGUUGAGUGGACAAAUCUCUUGUUGGAACACAUAUAGUAUGAUAGAUUUUCGUUUUAGCUAUAAGAUACUUGCUACUUGCAAUGUCGAAUCGAAAUAAUUGCAAUGAUAUGUACUUGUUACUUGGUAUAUUCGGAUGAUAAUGUAUAAUUGUUUUGGAUGAAAUAUAAUAUGUUAUUGAUGGUUAUA